AAGGGGCAGCCAGUGGAAGAAAACACUGUUUGGGGCUGGGCAGGGUGUCUCAGAAUCCGGGCCGCACCUGGUUUCACCUGGAGAGCUGGCUGGUCAGUACUCGAACAGAUGCCAGACCUGUAAAGUGGGUCCUUUGAACCUCAAAACCUUGCAGGAGCCUUGGGGAGGCCUUUAGGACCGAGGGGAAUCAUCUCCUCUCGGAGCCAGGCUGCUACCUCGUCCUCGGAGUACCCAGGGGCUCCUCCCACCCCCAGUCUCUGUAGCCCGCACAGUCCCAGACCCUGGCCCCGGGCCACCCACGGACGUGACACCCCCGGGGGGCCUGUCGGCCGGGGGCAAAGUCGGCGGCUGCCUCCGCACGGGGCCGUCCUCGCCCUCGCUGUCACCCUCCCCCGGAGCCCGCGGCCACCGCGGCCGGCGCGCCGGUCACCAGGCUGGGCGAGCCGAGCCGAGCCGAGCCGGGCCGGGCCCCCGCCCCCCCCAGCCCCGUGCGCGCCGCGGGAGUCUCCCCGCACCCGCUCGGUCGCCUGGGGCUGGAGGGCCGGGCCCCGCCCCGUCGCCUCGGCGCGAGCUCUCCGCGGCCCCCUCUGGCGCGCGCGGGGCAGCGGGGGCGCCGGCGGCGAGCUCGGGGCGGGGAGCGGCGCUGGGAGGCGGGGGCGGGGCGCAGGAGGGGAGAGCCGGGAGCCGAGCAGAGGCGGGCGCCGCACCGCCCCGCGCCCCGCAGGCUCGCUGGCUCCGGAGACGCGCGGGCGGCCGCCGGGGCGCACCGGCCGGGUCACCUUGUCCGGGAGAAGUGAUGGCAGCACCUCAAAGGCUUGUUGGACAAUACUCUGAUGCCUUAGAUUUCCUCCCCAAGAAAUAGGCCCCAAGAUAAGAAUUCAAGAGGACCAGUAGAGGAGAGUGGAAGUGAGACAGGAAUGGAAAGUGCCAAAAAAUGGUGCAUUGGACAUCAAGAUAACCCCUCGGCUACUGGGCGAACAGGCCUGCUAGGGCCUUGAGAGAGUGUGCAGGACACCUGCCUCAGACUGUCCCACCAAGAGACAAAGAUGCUGAGCAUUCAUCCAUCAACUUCCCAUCUGUCAUCAGUUGACACUGCACCACAGGCCUUAAUUCCUCUGACGUGGCCUAUGAUAGCCAAA
rnacentral:lncRNA from 1 species